AUGAACGCUGGCGGCGUGCCUAAUACAUGCAAGUCGCGCGAACGGACGAGAAGCUUGCUUCUCUAAUGUUAGCGGCGGACGGGUGAGUAACACGUGGAUAACCUACCUAUAAGACUGGGAUAACUUCGGGAAACCGUAGCUAAUACCGGAUAAUAUUUUGAACCGCAUGGUUCAAAAGUGAAAGACGGUCUUGCUGUCACUUAUAGAUGGAUCCGCGCUGCAUUAGCUAGUUGGUAAGGUAACGGCUUACCAAGGCAACGAUGCAUAGCCGACCUGAGAGGGUGAUCGGCCACACUGGAACUGAGACACGGUCCAGACUCCUACGGGAGGCAGCAGUAGGGAAUCUUCCGCAAUGGGCGAAAGCCUGACGGAGCAACGCCGCGUGAGUGAUGAAGGUCUUCGGAUCGUAAAACUCUGUUAUUAGGGAAGAACAUAUGUGUAAGUAACUGUGCACAUCUUGACGGUACCUAAUCAGAAAGCCACGGCUAACUACGUG
rnacentral:rRNA from 1 species